rnacentral:rRNA from 1 species
AUUGAACGCUGGCGGCAUGCCUUACACAUGCAAGUCGAACGGCAGCACGGGGCAACCUGGUGGCGAGUGGCGAACGGGUGAGUAAUGCAUCGGAACGUACCUUUCAGUGGGGGAUAACGUAGCGAAAGUUACGCUAAUACCGCAUAUUCUGUGAGCAGGAAAGCAGGGGAUCGCAAGACCUUGCGCUGAUUGAGCGGCCGAUGUCAGAUUAGCUAGUUGGUGAGGUAAAGGCUCACCAAGGCGGCGAUCUGUAGCGGGUCUGAGAGGAUGAUCCGCCACACUGGAACUGGGACACGGGCCAGACGCCUCAGGGAGGCAGCAGUGGGGAAUUUUUGACAAUGGGGGCAACCGUGAGCCAGCCAUGCCGCGUGAGUGAAGAAGGCCUUCGGGUUGUAAAGCUCUUUCGGCCGGGAAGAAAUCGCACGGGCUAAUACCCUGUGUGGAUGACGGUACCGGAAUAAGAAGCACCGGCUAACUACGUGCCAGCCGCCGCCGUAAUAC